rnacentral:rRNA from 1 species
AGAAUCAACGCUGGCGGCGUGCCUAACACAUGCAAGUCGAACGAGAAAGUGGAGCAAUCCACGAGUAAAGUGGCGCACGGGUGAGUAACACGUGACUAACCUACCCUUGAGUGGGGGAUAACCUAGGGAAACCUGGGCUAAUACCGCAUAAUACCUUCGGGUCAAAGGAGCAAUUCGCUUAAGGAGGGGGUCGCGGCCGAUUAGUUAGUUGGCGGGGUAAUGGCCCACCAAGACUAUGAUCGGUAU